CCCGCGCCCCGACUGCGAGCCGGGCGGACGGCGCCGUCUGGGCCCCGCGGUGUUUCCCGCCUUGGCGAACCCCGGGCCCCUCCUGCUUUUCCUUGGCUGGGGGUGUCCGAUUUCUGUCAAGUUUCGUUGAGUUCCUGUCCAAGAAGCCCUGUCCAGAGAGAAACGUCUGAGCUCAAGGGCAGCCCCUGAUGCCUGGGAAGGCUUUCUGGAGCUCUUGCCAUCUCUUCGGCUCGUCCUUUCACCACGGCGUGCCUGGUUUCUGGCCUGUUUUAGAGACUGAGAAACCGAGGCUUGGAUGGAGCGGCCCUGGGCGUCAGGACGGAAACCUCAAAAGAUGCCGGAGGGAAAGGAGGCAUUCCCUGACUUGUCUGCACCCACUGGUGUCUGUGGGGAGCGGAGAAGAGGGGCUCCUCCUUAAUGGUGUCCCCCUCCAUGCCUGUAAAGAGAAAGGCGGCCACUGACAUCGGGGAGCUGGCCUGGUUCUGCAGCCAGGACUUGGGGUUGGUCUGGCACAAACAGCUAGGCCUGGGUGUUCUCUUUGAAUGUGAACAAUUUCAUAAAACACCAACAUCAGGCCGUGAUACAGAUCAAGAGAAAAAAACAGACCACUGUGUAAUCAAGUGUGAACACAGACAAAACAGGAACACUGUCCAAGCCACAAAAGUGACCACAUUCCCCUCGUCUUGGCCAAUAAGAGUGAUUGCUGCUUCUUUACCAUUACAUGUUUAGCCUUUGUCUCGUCCUCCUGCCGUCUAGAUAAGCUUCAUCAAGAUAUCCAAUCAUGGAAUCCUCCUCUUCCUGACAUCCAAUCCGGAGCAAAGGCCCGUUUCCAUAAAUGUUUCCCCAAAUCAACUAACACAAACCCAAAUCUUACACCUCCGUUCCAACAUCGUUUACCCAAGUUCCCCAGGUUAUGUGGUCUCCCUCCAUGCAAAGAGUUUUCAGCCCAGUUCAUUCUGGGGCAGAUGUAUUUCUGACGCUCUCUGGCUGUAGGACAUGGAGGGAGCCCAACAAGGCUUCAUGCCUCUCAUCUGCGUGGCUUCUCACUAGCAACCGUUUGAGAUAUUCAUGCUGCCUCCUCCAUUACAGCAGAAACACUCAAGUAACAAUGCUUGUAACCGUUAAAGAAAGAGGAAAUAAAUACAAAAAGCGGCUCAACAUUAAAAGGUUUAUUUCAGAGAAUAAACCUGAGAGGGGAUUCUGGCCAAUUUCGAUCAGGAGCGCUCUCUCUUACAGACUAAGCAUUCUCUCUUACAGACUAAGGAUAUUUAAGGGUUUUGGAAGUGGGGGAACGUUUAUUGCAGGGUUGGAAUGUCUCUGGUCGGAGGGGAGGCUAUUGGAGGAGAGGUUAUUUCAGGGUUAGCAUGUUUCUGGUUGAAGAGAGGUUUAUCUUAGGGUUGGAAUAUUUCUGGUUAUGCUGACAUUAGCCGUUAGGCUGAUGUUUUGGGGUAG
rnacentral:lncRNA from 1 species